UUCCUAUUUCUACAGAUACCUAUGAUCAUUACCGGGUUCCCUUCUCUACCAUAAGCGGGUAAUGAUUGAAUUAGGGACUUCAUUGGAUUGAGCAAUGACUGCACACGGCGCUGUGGAUUGGACUACUAUACUAGCAGAAGAAAUUUCCAUGAAUAAAUGCAUGUAUACUACGUAACAUUUUGUACCUCUGAGAAUGAAAAGAUAACGUUAAUCUUUCUUACAGACAUCUUAAAGUAAAAAAAGCGUGCGUGUCGACUACAGCAGGAAGUCAAGUGAAUGGAUAAAGCAGAGUGACUGAUUUCCAGAUGUAUAGAUUUAAUCUUUUUACAUCACACCGUAGAAGAAUCGAUAAUGUCGAAAAUCGCUACUAAACCUGUCCAAAACGUUAGAUAAUGACUUCUUUAAACGAUCUAUGAAAUCCCUUUUGAUAACCUCUUGUGUACUUUUUUAAAAUCCUUCCUCAAGUUCAAUGUGGCAGCACAGACCAAUAAAGUCCUUAUCUGAGUAAUACAGUUACAUAGGAUAUUCAAAGUCAGACAGCUCGGAUUGCGCUUCGAUCGGGACGGGCGCAAUCGCUCAGAUCAUCUCUUGUGUAUUGAAUGAUGUGCUGUUAGGGCUGCAGCUUACGGAAACAGCCGGAUUUGCAGACCAGACCAAACUCCGAAACGAAACCAUGUAAGUGGUAGUCUACUGUGAAAAAAGCUUUUCUAUAUGUUCCAGUUCUUAAUAUCCGGGGCAGGGAUUGGAAAUUCAUUACACUGGAGUGCCUGCUCUGUUUCUUUUCCACAGACAUUAAAAAAUGGCAACCGAUCUUAUCCAUGUAUUCCUCAUAACCUGCUUUGUCGACUUCCAUUAUAAGUGCCUCAAUAAAGCAAGAGGUCCAUGAGCCCCAAUGCUCAUCUGA